CUUCCCAUCAGCCCUUGAGGCUGCAGGGACCAGCCCUUUGUACAGUGGAGAAGCCCAGGCGGCCUAGAAUCCAGUGUCGUCCGUGAGUGCUUGGCUGGUGUUCAAGUGCAUCUUCCAGCCUGAGACCGCGUGGACUCGCUCAUCGUGAGGGCGAGAGGAGGAUAAGCCCAUUGGGCUGUCGGCUGAGAGUGAGGUGCGGGACCAUCCACAAUAUUGUUUGAACAUCUGAAGACAUGGGGAACUUGCCAUCUGAUAUCUGAUAACAGACUUCCUGUAAAGCAGGACUGGUAGUUUCCUGAUAACAAAUUCUUCAAUAUGAAGAUUGCUGAUGAAAUCCUUGGCAUCGUCGGAGAUCUCAUCGAAUGCCUCGUCGUCGAAGUCCCAGGUGGCUGAGGUAACGUUGGCCAAGGUUUCGUUAUCGUUGUCUCCCAUGAAGGGGGAAAGGCCACUGACUCUGGAGAGACAAGAGCAGGACAGCAGGUGUGGCUAGGAGAGGGCGCGACGACCAGAUGAGGGAAUUGAGGCACAGCCCAGGCUCAAGUCACCUGCCCAAAGAUUCACAGCCAGUGAGAUUGGAAGCCAGGUAUCUGCCUCUAGAGCCUGUCCUCUUAAAUGCUAUACUAUCCUAACAUUUCUGUAAAGAUGAAGUAAAUUGCAGUGUUCAGCACUGGCACCAGGCCUGGUCCACAGUAAGGAGGCGGUCCAUGCCCGGAGAUCUCAUGCAGUUCUGCUGGGUUCCCUCCACUGCCUUACCAAGCUGUGAGUGCAGGAAUGACUUUGUGACCAGCAGCUUAAGCCAAAUAAACUUUAUAAGGUAAAGAAUUUCAAAACAAA
rnacentral:lncRNA from 1 species